GUACUCACUUCAGCAGCAUGUAUACUAAAAUUGGAAAGAUACAGAGAAGAUUAGCAUGGCCACUGCACAAGGAUGACAUGCAAAUUUGAGAAGUGUUCCAUAUUUAA
rnacentral:snRNA from 1 species